GUGGACCAGGGCGUCUGCUCAGGACAGAGGCUCCCCUGGCCCUGCUCUGGGUCCUCCGCCUUCUUUCUCCAAGCCGGCUUCCCAGGCCAGGGGUGGAAGCCCCGUGAGACCGAGGACUUUCCCCCUCGUGGGGUGCCUGGGGAGCACCCACACCAGUGGCCCAUUUGGGGAUCCCUCCCUGCCUUCUGCCCCUCACAGGCACUCGCCCUGGAGAAGCCGCAGCCCGGUGCUUGGAGACACGCCUGGACCUUUCAGGGCUCGGACUGUGCACUUGGCUCUGGGAGGAACGUGCCCGCUCGGGGUCAGCCUCCCUGAGGCUGGAAGCAAGGGACAGAUGCCCAGGCCGGAACCGGAACCGCUGGGUCCAGCAGCCCAGCCGCCCGAGGCACAGGCGCCACCCGCCAAUAGCCACAAGAGCGCCCUGCGGAGACCUCGAUGCUGCUCACGCCGAGCCCCCCACCGAGAGAAGCCUGGAGCGGCCCCCUGAACCCUGGGCACCAGGUCCGUGACUGAACGCCCCCCAGCCUCGCGGAGCCUCGGCUCCUUGGAAAAGGGGGGCCGGACUAGAACUGCCUGGGGGGCUCCCAGCACGGAAGGACGCGUGGAGAGGACACCUGGAUCCUGCCUGGGGCUCCAGAGACACUCACCUCCGUGGGGCCGGGGCUGGCCGCCGCCUAGUUCCGAGCGCGUGGGGACCGCCCGGGACACAGGCUGCAGCAGCUGGCCUGGGGGCUGUGCUCGCGGGCGGCUCUGGCCGGCUUCUGCCUGGGCCUCCGCUUGGGCCGGCGCUCAGGCUGGGCCGGGGGCUGAGCCGGCAGAGAGGCAACGAUCGGGGGCUGGGGGUCUGAAUCCGCCUCCGCCGCCUCCUCCAGGGGCUCCGCGGUGACCCUUCGGCCCCUGGGGAAACAUCAAGGUGGUCUUCUUUAAAACAAAUGCCCCUGAGCCAGAGCCCUGGGCCCCUCUACUGCCCUGGCUGUUGGGGGGGGGGGGCUUCAGGUCACCCCAUCAGGGUUUUGGGGGGUGGCUCCCCUGCCUGUCACUCUGGCUGCUGAGCUCUCCCUUUGCCAAGUACAAGGGCAGGGACCUGGCCCACAGCUCACCCGGGGUGGGAGACCUCCUGUCGGACAGGAGACCCUGCCUGGGCGUGGGGUGGGGGCUGGACACACAGGGCCCAUCUCGGGGAAUCACAGCACAUAACGUGAGACCCCCCCUUCCACUCCCAGCAACCCCACCAUGGGUGGAAGCACAGAGGGGCUAGGCACAAAGCAGAGGGCAGGCUCCCACUGGGAAGGCUGCCAGGGCAGGGCAGUGGGCUCCUGGGGGGAAGGACCCUCCUGCCCACAACCCGCACCCUGGGUGGACAGGGCAGCACUGAACGCAGUGUGCAGACGGCACACUGGGGGGCAGGGAGAAGCUGGACACUGCCUUGGGUGUGAGGGACACUGCUCCUCCAUCAUGAGGGUCUAUAGCAUGGGGAGCUCUCCAGUAUGCCUGGGAGGUGCAGGGGAUGGAAGAGGGGAACUUGACUUUUUAAAUGGUAUAAAAAACAAAAAAUGCUUCAAAA